AGUCCUGAGGUGUUUACACAUCAAAAUGCAAGUUUGAAGUAGGGCCCAAGUGUGCCCCGGGGCUU
rnacentral:tRNA from 1 species